CCUUAUUUAUUUUUUUAAAAUAAAACUUCUUCCUUUAUUUUAAAAUGUAAUCCUGGAAGUUUGCUCGGUGAGGAAAUGACCAGCUCGAAGCAGAUACUAACUUUCCCUGCCCCCUCACCCCCACCCCAAUGAGCUGGCACGCGGUGGGGGCAGUGCAUGGCAGAGCUGGGCUGCUCCUAAGAGUCUUCUGGCCAGGAUAUUGAUGAAAAAAAAAACCAAAAUAUGGCACCGUGGAUCCCGAUGAGUGUCACCUUCUGAUGCUGAAAU